rnacentral:rRNA from 1 species
GGGACACGUGGUAUCCUGUCUGAAUAUGGGGGGACCAUCCUCCAAGGCUAAAUACUCCUGACUGACCGAUAGUGAACCAGUACCGUGAGGGAAAGGCGAAAAGAACCCCGGCGAGGGGAGUGAAAAAGAACCUGAAACCGUGUACGUACAAGCAGUGGGAGCCUCUUUUAUGGGGUGACUGCGUACCUUUUGUAUAAUGGGUCAGCGACUUAUAUUCUGUAGCAAGGUUAACCGAAUAGGGGAGCCGAAGGGAAACCGAGUCUUAACUGGGCGUUAAGUUGCAGGGUAUAGACCCGAAACCCGGUGAUCUAGCCAUGGGCAGGUUGAAGGUUGGGUAACACUAACUGGAGGACCGAACCGACUAAUGUUGAAAAAUUAGCGGAUGACUUGUGGCUGGGGGUGAAAGGCCAAUCAAACCGGGAGAUAGCUGGUUCUCCCCGAAAGCUAUUUAGGUAGCGCCUCGUGAAUUCAUCUCCGGGGGUAGAGCACUGUUUCGGCAAGGGGGUCAUCCCGACUUACCAACCCGAUGCAAACUGCGAAUACCGGAGAAUGUUAUCACGGGAGACACACGGCGGGUGCUAACGUCCGUCGUGAAGAGGGAAACAACCCAGACCGCCAGCUAAGGUCCCAAAGUCAUGGUUAAGUGGGAAACGAUGUGGGAAGGCCCAGACAGCCAGGAUGUUGGCUUAGAAGCAGCCAUCAUUUAAAGAAAGCGUAAUAGCUCACUGGUCGAGUCGGCCUGCGCGGAAGAUGUAACGGGGCUAAACCAUGCACCGAAGCUGCGGCAGCGACGCUUAUGCGUUGUUGGGUAGGGGAGCGUUCUGUAAGCCUGUGAAGGUGUACUGUGAGG